rnacentral:lncRNA from 1 species
GAACACUUCACCUAAUAAAAACAGAAUAUACAUUCUUUACAAGUGCACAUGGAACAUUUAACAAGAUAUGUCAUAUCUGGGUGAUAAAACAACUCAAUGGGAUCUCGUCAAGAUGGCAGCAUAAGCAGACUCUGAACUCAUCUUCUCCCACGAACACAACCAGGUUACAAUUUUUGGAAAAAUUAUCCUGCAUAGAAAACUUAAAACUGGAUUAAAAGAAUCCUCACAACAAGGGACAGUCCUAAGGUGGAAGAGGCAGAAAUUCCUGCUGGAGAGAAAAAACCGCCACCUUUGGGAGCAGUGGAACUUCUCAGCUGGCCAGGCAGGAGCCACCCUAAGUGUGGAAAUAUAAAUCUACUCUGGAUAAGGCUGUAUUCGGUGUACAGAUCUAAGCAGGAAGUCUUUAGAACUCACAGAGCCCAGGUGGAAAGAUGCGGUUCAUCAUCCAUCCUCCUGUCUCCGACCUCAGCUAUGGCUUCCAAAUGGGUGAAAGGACCUUCAUGGAGAGGUUGUGUUACCACUGACUACGGCCUUGUAUAAUAGACACUGACUCCACUGUUGAUGUCUGACUUCUGAGGCUUUUAAGCCUCUUCUGCUUGUGCCCCCCAUGUGGGUGAACUUAUAGAAAGCUCCAGCACUCCAUCCUUUGAUGCCAGCAGGAAGGUCAAACCCCACCAGCCGCUGCUCACCUGCAGGAACCGCGCACCCUGGCCUCACCUCCACCACAAUAAAAACCCACAGCUGUUUCCUCUCCUUGCUCUCUCAAGCCAUUUUGGAUAAACUUGGGGCUUGCCCUGCUCUCUCCAGAAAGACUCAUUAUAAACUUUUACAAGCUUUGUGGCAGAAUUCUUGGUUGAAAGUUGUGAAAGGAUUUUGAUCUAAAAUGGAACCAGAGGAUGUGAAACGGAGAAUCUCACGCAAGUGCCCUCAGAAGAACAGACCUUAAGAACUGAGAGACUGAUUUCCUGUAAAUGCCUGAUUCACAGAAGACGGAGACUUAUCUCCUGACCAGUGAACGUCCACCAAGAGUCUCUCCCCAUCCUCAAGCCAGGGAACUUACUGCUUGGACUCUGGCUGGACUUCCCCCCGCUUUGUAUUCCCUGCCCAUAAAUACAGCCCGCCCCAAACCCUCCAUGGACAAGCCUGUAGUUUGCUACAGCAUGUGUUUCCCAGAUUGCAAUUCCUCUGCUAAUACCAAAUAAACUCAAUUUCUGGUAAUUUGAGCUUGUUUGUUUACUUCUUUAUUUAGGUUGGCAAAGUUAUAGAAGCCAAACUCAAACUAGCUUAGGCAAAAUAGGAAAUCCACUUACACGGGUAACUGGGACGGACAAGGGUGGAAGCAGGAUUCAGGCACAGCUCUCUCCAAGGUUUCGCAUAUCCUCAGGGCUCACUCUGGGUCCCUAUCUCAGCUCUUUUCCCUCUGUACGCUGCCUCUUUUUCUCUUAAGCACACAGUUGUUUCAUGUAGCCAGGAAAGAUGGCCUUUUGCAGUUCCA